rnacentral:lncRNA from 1 species
UAGGAAAGCCGGAGAAAUAAAGAAGUGCUGACACCGGAAGGCAGUCGGUAGUAGUGGGCUUCAGCCGACGUAUGGCAACGUCGCAACGGUGACGGUGGCCACAUGAGAAAAGAACGAAGAUCUGCUCGCCUGCGGGCUGACGUACGGGCGAGCUGCUCAUGACUGUCUGGUGAAACGGAAGGGAGAGCGGAAGCCAGUGAUCUCUAUUUGUUCCCAAAUGAAGUAAGUGGAUGGAUCAAAUAAGGGAAAAAUUGUUUCCAUCCUUGCACUGCGGCGUGGCCAUAGUAGGACCAGCAGGAUCAGCAGCGGCCAAGUUUCAACUGUCGCGGAUGCUACUUGUGCUAUCGGCGCGUUUCUUCGACUACAUUCUCCGCCGCCGUCGCCAUAACCACCAACUCACAGCAGCAAUUUUUCCCAUCGUCUCUUCUGCCUUUCUUUUGCUUCGAGGUUCUUUGCUUCAAGCCGAGCAGUCGACCUACCGAAAGACAAAAAGAAGCUGCCAGAGAACGGUCAAAGUCGAGCAAACGAGCGACGAACGACAACGAUGACGACAAUGACGACUAGAAGUGAGUGACCGUGGAUUUGUUGUAUGUGUGUGUCGGUCUAUGUCGCCACUUCGGUGUUGGGUUGGGUCGUCUGCGCGCUUUUUCCGUCGCCGAUGUCUCUACAGGAAGUCCUUCAAUUUAGCCCUCAAGAACCGAACAAGUCGCUCGAAAGAGACCACCAGCUACCAAAGAGGGGGAAACAACCUCCGCUUGCGUCUCUCGAAGCAGCGGUCUCCAAAAAGGUUCACUCCCGCCCUAAAUCCUAAACCCCACCCAUCUCAAACUGCCACGCUUAUCCAAAGCUUUAGCUAGAGCCGUUAUGCCGAGCUCUCUGUCUUCGACGUCUUUCAGCCAACAGAGAAGCGCCAACGCCUGGCCGUUUGCGAUCUCUCCAAGGUCCUUCCAGAUCAGUGAACAUCGGAGUGGGGCUGAACUAGCUAGACAGGCUUGCAACCAGUUAGCGCAUGAAAAAAAGAAGAAAAAACGCAACGAAGGACUAAAAAAGAGAGAACAUCAAAAUGUUUCUUCCCUGCCUGCGUCUCCUUAGAGGAACGUAAACGGGGAUAAAAGCAAGCUAAAAGACACUUCAGCAAGUAACGCACGGUCAAGCCUAUAUGAAUUCGCCCGGGUAUAUGUACUUAUACGUAUAUGCGCCGUGUUUUUGUAUGAGCCUGCUUUUCUACCUUUCUUUGUGCUUUUCUGUGUUUUGUGCACGUGUAGCUGUGUGUCUGUUAGAAUGACGGGCAUUGUUUAGCGUUAUUCUGUAAAAGUACAAAAAAACGGGAAACCGCUGGCAGCGGGCAAAACGUACGUUAAUGGUGGUGGCGAUGGUUGGCGGCUGAUAGGUAGGACGUCUGUCUUUUGCCCCUUGAUGCCUCGGUAUGUAUUGCUCGAGGCAAUGCCGACGCUGCGAAAAACAAACCGGUCAGAAAAACCGAGACAGAUGCAAGAGAAAAGAAGGACCAUGACAAGAAAAGGGCGCAACUGACAGAGGUGCAGGCGAACUGUUGUUUCGAGUAAACAGGUGAAGGAGAUCAUUAGGCAAGUCUUCAGGGAGCUGCGUGAGCAAGCGGAUGGGCGAGCGCCGGACAAGCUAAGAAAGCAUCUCACCUCAACUGCGGGUGUGUUUGUAUAUGCCCAGUAGAGUGACAUGCUUUCCGAACAUUCGAGUGCUACAAAUUCCCUAGUCUUCUGUCUCCGACCUACCUGAGCUAUUGCUCUCACCCGUCGCUUUGUCCCUAUUACCACGUUGUUUGUAACUCUUUCAUCCUCCCCCUUAUCAAGAGAGGCAAGUUGAGGCCUGGCUAGUAAAGGGGCAGCAGAUUAUGUACAGAAUCAAAACCAGUGAGGGCGACGACGUAUAUAAGGACGAGAGGCGUUUUCAUUGAGCCCGGUAAUAUCAAGCGAAAAGCUGCAAUCGCACAGGAUUAUCUUAUCGGACGCACUGAUGACAGCAUGAAGUCUGCUCGAAGGAAUAGGCGACAUUGUUUCGCCCAUUCUCGGCAAUAAGAUAAGUAUUUGCGAAUGCUACAGUAUCCUUUAGGUAAGUCGAAUCAAAAAGGGGUGUAAAGUUUGGAUUUUGUCAUAUUACGGCUACCAUAUGUUCACGAAGUGCUGCUAUGACAGUAGUUAUACUUUAGUAUUUAAUAUAAAGUAGCUUUACUACGAGUAAUAAACCAGCGCGACAACAUCAAAGCCGCAUUUUCUCGUAAGUUGCGUCCAUCUCGCUUUCCUUACGUGCACCCGUAUGUGCGUGUAUGUCCGCGUGUGGCAUGAUCGCGUUUGCGCUACGGGUGUCGUCUUCGUAUACGAAGCCGCCUGCUGGAAUGGCUCGAGGCAUGCGAUUUUUUCGGGCCAUUUAGCUUUGGAACCAUUAUAAUAAAAGCGAGCGCUAGCUACAAUGCGCCGACGUUCUGAUAAGGAUUGGAAGCGGGUGAAUGCUAUGCCCGCUAUAAACUAUCUUUAUGUGUUGGAUAUGGCCUGAUUUAAGGGACCACAACGGAACGUUGUUUGCUGCAAGGUUGUCCGCGUGCCGUCCACGAUUUAAGGAAUGAACCCACAUAUCAUGCUCGUGUAGACCCAUAGUAGUGAAUCCAUGGCUCGAACGGGAUUUCAAAAUGUUUUCUUCCCAAAAUCGUCAUUAUAAUACAAUGACGGUUACGGCAAUCUAGAUCAUAAUUAAAAACUAUUCUAACCUUUAAUAUUUUUUCGCAUAGCAUAAAAGUGGCAAAAUGCAAUCGCGCGAAAUUCCUAUUACUAGAGAGCAUAUUUAUCAAUUUAAAAUAAUCUGCACAUUUAUCUCGCUAGUUUUAGUGUCUUAAUCAGCUGCAGCUGGCUCGUUGGCGUUUGUCGUGAUUUUACAUUUGAUGGCGAGUCGUUUCUGAAACGAAAGCAGGGGCCACUCCUCAUCGAGAUCUCCCUAGUUCUCCUCUAAACCCCCGCGACCGCUGUUCUCCACGUUUAUGUGUCCCGUUCGUUCGGCAUUUCGCAUUCAGCGUCAUCGAGAGCAAGCGUAGCUUUCGAUGAUGACGGAGUACCGGAUGGAACGGGCAUUAUCAAGAGGACGGUGCAAUCGAAGUCUUAUAUCAAGGGGCAAACUACCAAUGGCAACGAAAGAGGCAUAACACGUCUUCCGUAUUCUUUGUACAUCGUAGACGUCCAGAUGCAUUUGUACUGUCGUCACAUGACAACAACCUUGAGAGAGGCAUGUGGUACAGAUGGCUCCGCCAUUAAAUCGUAACUAUUGUACGAGAAACCAAUCUCGUCAGCCUCGUAAGAGCUGGCCAAUUCAAUGAGUAUAUUAUUCGUUCUAUUAUUAGGGACGUUUCCAGAUAGAAAAAUGUAGCGAGGUACCGUUUAUAAUACUAAGAUACGGUUGACCUGAAACUAGCAUCGCGGCGUUGCGGACUGGGGUCGAUUGUGUGGAAUUUAUGUACAAUACCUAAAGUUACUUUUUUUUUUAUAAGCACUGCGUUUGCUUUAUGAAUUAGCUUGACAAUUAAUAAUUCGAUCUAAUCCGUAGUGACGAAUCCUGGUAUUCCAGCUAAGCUUUCGUGGUCAACAUAGAAAGACGUCGACGACUUAUCAAAAGGAGCUAUUAAAAUCCAGAAUUGUCUACUUUGGACAAUGUUUUGGUACAAUGGCGUUCUGUAUAAUCUAUUGUAUUUAACCCCAAUUUCAAGGCCGAUUGCAUCAAGAUCGAUUGCAUCUGUUGUCAAUUGUUGGCUGCUGUUCAUAGAAGCGAUAAUGCUGGCUGGCCUUUCAUGAAUAAUUUAAUAGCAACAUGAUAUACUAUUUCAUCCCACUUUUUCGAGUAUUAUUGUGGCCCCAGAACUUGCGUGAAAUAUGUGGCUAGGUUAUACGUCUAAAUUUGUACAAAGGCUUAUUUUAUGAAUAUAGGUCUGAGGCUUCGCAUGUAACAUUGACUCCGUUAAUUGUAAUAAAGAUUCUUUCACGAACCUAACCUAACCUACACGAAUAGCAUGAAUGGAGAAGCAAACAUUCUUACUGUAUGUUUACCUCACUAACUUACCUAACUAGUAUUUGCCAUCUUUAUUUGUCUAAGUAGAGCAUAAGAUAAAUUUGAAGGAGAUUAACUAUUUUCUUUCAUGCUUGACGUGAACUCAAAGGGCAUUGUCUGGCUUGCUAGAAGAAGACAAGUCAAUUCAUAAGGCGUGACGGGAGCCUGGUGAAUCCGUUCUGAUAACAAUAAUUACGAAUAUAUGAAUCUGUUCUGUAGAACUGUGGCUGAAAUGUCGGUGUAUGGUCUACUUAUAACAGACGGUAAAAACGCGGGGUUUGUCCCUAACUGUGAAGGCUCUUCGAGUGGCCUUUGCAGUUGGGGACCCAUUACAUCUUAUCCACGUAUGAAUUAUGGCAAUGGUGAUGAUGCUAAUGGCAUGGAGUUUGCGGUGCUCUUUAUCGAAACCAGACAACGAUUCGGACUUUGAGCUGCGUUGUUCAUCCGUGUUUUCCCUAGCCUUCUUUCCCACGCACGCGUUUACCAUUCUCUCUUUGAGAAGGGCCCCAGCAGAGAUGACGGAUCACUUGUUCACUACCUUUUCGCGGUCACAGCAGGAUGCCCUUUUUCAGGUACGGAUGCAAGAGGAAAGAAACAUGGUAUUAGUGCUGCUGACAGUAAUGUGUCUGGCAGCGUCGCCAAUGGACGUAGCGAUAGCCGGAGACAGAUAGACAGCCACUCUUUUUACGAGGCGCUUUUCUAAUGCUUCUGUCAUUAGAGAUCUUACUUCUAUGUAUAUAUGCACGCGUGCAGACGGUUGUUUGGCGAAGGCUGGCCGCAGAUGCGAUCUCGUUUCGGCGUUACGACGAUAUCGGGGCCAACAACAACUGCCUCGGGAAAGCUACUAAAUUGUAACCAUGCGAAACGCGUCAAUUUGCAACGAGGAGGAAGGUGUUACACGCCUUUUCAUGCCAUAUGGCGAGCCACUGAACCUGUAGCACACUUCGGAAACAUAUUAUACCGAGAACAGGAAACAGCAAAACGUGUGAAAUUGCGCGGACAUAUAUUUAUGAGUAUAUGUCUGUCAGAAGAUAUGUUGAGACCGCAGGACCCGGAUUACGUCAUCAACUUAAUGAUUAUUCACUUUCCUAUUAAAAGCCCAAAAAAAAGUAUACUGUUAAGGGUGUGGGGUAAACAAAACGCCAGAGUCACAAUCAUGAGAAUCCGGAUUUGGCCCCAGCUGACGCUUAUUAUAUCAAAACAACUGUCCUGCGUGUAGUAUAUAUAGAAUUGACUAUUAAUUCUAAUCCCAAUUAUUUACUUUGUCAUAUUGCCAUCUUUUGACAUAAGCUACGUCUUAAACUUGAAUUAGUACAUGUACAGCUCGUAAUAAGCUAUGCCAUCGAAAGGUUCUGAUCCAUUUAACAUUUGCGGCAACGUUUCUGAUCUCAUCCUGUCUCGUAUGCUUAAUUUUUUCAAAACAUAUUUUCUAUUAAAUAUUUAGCUGAACCCAAUCUAUUUGUAUCCAUGUGCUCAACCUCAAACUACCGAAGUUAACCACAACAUCUUAAUUUAUAUCUGGAACUUUCUAGAGAGGGCUAAUUCUAAGAAACCCAUCCUGGAAACCCAGAUGCUUCCGUUUACACUAAACUGGUACAGGUUGAAGGUCCAUAAUUCAUAGUCAAUAGCCCAUUUUUGUCAACAGGAACGCUUAUUGUAUGUAGCAGUUUGGUAUUUUAUGUCAAGACCCUGGUAUGAACAGCAAUGCAUAUUACGUAGUAGCGGGCAAUGGUACGCAUCCACAAAACGAAACCUGUUACACGAGUAUCGGUCCCAAUUCAGGACAGCAGGAAAAAGUAGGAUUACGGUUAAAUAAUUUGGUAAUACAGAACUUGUAUCAACGUUGUGACAUGGUGGACGUUAUCGUCGGUGGUGACAGUGCUGUAGUUGUAGGGAAGACAGCCAAAUGGUGUUUGAUGUGCUGCUAAUUCAAGUGACUAUUGAGAACGGCACAUGCGCGGUAGAUGACUGCGAAAGCCAGUUACCAACGCAAAGUUCCGGAUUGACGACGGAUUGUACUAAACGCAUGGCACGUACGGUUUAGUCGUAGGAAAGACUACUUUAAUUAUCUGUCGAUAUGGCUAACAACCGGAUUAGACAGCGAUUUCUUUAUCAAUUCAUUUGAAUUAAGCUACCAUCUUAAAUAUAGCUAUAUUAUAUUAAACUUUUAUUUGUUGCAUCCUAUUAUUAAUUCUUUUUACAAAUAGUGAAAUGGACGUAUCACUGGAAAGUUCUUUCUCCAUAGGGCUGUUAUUAUCGCUUUGUUCGGAUCGCAAAAGUUCUGAUCUUGAGACGAAUACGUCGGCUUAAAAAGCAGCGAAUUUGCGAAUCUGAUUCUUUGCAGAUGUUCUAUAACAAACUAAGAUAUAUGUUCUGCGUACCGUGCAUACCUUACAGUUACGUUCGACCAGUAUCUAUCAUUGUUGAAAAGUGGCUCAAUGCAAUCUUGAUCGAACUCAAAGUUAAACGGCUCAACAGGCCGUUUUGCAGUAACAGAUCCAGCUACAGGAUCCUUGCUAUGGACGCCGCAUCUAUAUGGAGCCUAAUUCGACACCUUUUUGACCUACCUCAGAAAGAGCCAAACAAAACAUGUCCAAAUGCUGUUCAACAUACUUUACCUUUGCAAUUGGAACUGAAAACGAGGUUUUAUGGUUCUAAUAAAACGACGACAACAGAAUAAAGAACCUCAGGCUGUCGUAACAUUUGCGCACCAUUAAAACGAAAACUGGAAACAACCUAGUAAAUAGGCAUUCCAUGUUAAAUAAACAGAUAAGGAGCUUCACAGCAAGAAGUGCUGAGAGCUGACUAAUGAAAACCUUAGUUUCUGAUACCUAAUCUGUUAUUUUUAGGUAUGCAUACUUUAAGUAAUGGUUAAGUUAAGGAAAUCAUCAUUCGCUAACAUACUAUACUUCUACAAAACAGUCAUUGUUAUCGCUCUUCG